rnacentral:rRNA from 1 species
AUGUAUGGUGAAGCUGGAAGUAUGCUCAAGUAUUUUAGAGAUAAAAAGAAUGAGAAUCCUGCAUUUGAAUAUGACAUGCAACUAGAUUGCGAUGAAAAUAUAGCAAAUAUCUUCUGGGCUGAUGCAAGGAUGAUAAUUGACUAUGCUCAUUUCGGUGAUGUUGUUACCUUCGAUACAACAUUUGGGACAAACAAAGAGUACAAACCCUUUGGUGUGUUUGUUGGCUUCAACCAUUUCAGAGAAAUGGUCAUUUUUGGUGCUGCACUAUUAUAUGAUGAGACAUUUGAAUCAUUCAAAUGGUUGUUCAACACGUUCCUAUCAGUGCAUAACAAAAAACAACCAAGGACAAUCUUUACUGAUCAAGAUGUAGCAACGGGUAAUGCAAUUCAGGCAGUAUUUACCGAAGCAUGGCAUGGGUUGUGCACUUUUCACAUAAUGCAAAAUGCCAUCCGGCACUUACCUCAUAAGAAAAAAGAUGAGGAUGGACCAAAUGUACUUGCUGAUUUCAGUGCUUGCAUGUACAAGUAUGAGGAAGAGGAAGCCUUUGAAGACGCUUUCAAUUCCAUAAGAAGCAAUGUGGAAAUACAAACUUGGGUUGUGCAAGGAAAAAGAGAUAAUGAGGUAAAUGAGGAAUAUGAGUCUAGGAAAAAAUUACCUAGAGUCAGAAUGAGGACUCCUAUGGUAAUACAAGCGAGCAAAGUUUACACACCAUGCAUAUUUGAAGAUUUUCAGAAUGAAUAUGAAAGAUCCAUCUCAGCAUACAUCAAGCCAUCGGUACAACACAAUGUUUAUACUGUUGCGAUUGCAAGUCUUGACCCAGAAUUUUCAUAUGAAGAAGAAUGCAAAGUUCUAGUAGACUAUGGAGAGCAAAAGGUUCUAUGCAAUUGUGGGCAAUUUGAAAGAGUUGGUAUAUUGUGUAGUCAUGCUUUGAAAGCCCUUGAUGUCAUGAAUAUUAAAUAUCUUCCAGGCCACUAUAUUUUGAAGCGAUGGACUCGAGAAGCACGAAGUGGAACUAUUCAAAACAGUCAUGGAAACAUUGUUUUGGAAGACCCUAGAUCGGAAGAUAGGCAACAGUUGAAGUUUUUCAUGCAUGAUUUCCAUGGCAUAGCUUCCCAAGCAGUUGCAUCAAAAGAGUGCAUCAAACUAGUAGAUGAUGCUUUGAGGAUUCUUAGGAAGCAAGUUGAAGAAAAAGCUCCUACUACUACAUGCACAACUGAAGAUAUAUCUAAAGAACCAGAGGAUUGUCUACAGGCCGCUUGCCUAAAGAAAAAAGAAAUUCCGAAGAAGAAUUCGAGACGAAAGAAAUCAUGGCUUGAC